UGAAUACCAGACGCUACGGCGUUGAAGCAGUGUAUGUCAGACUUCCAAGAAAAGCUCGCAAUGUCCGAAAUAAAAUAAUGCCUGUACCAUAACCGACACAGGUGGGUAGGUAGAGUAUACUAAGGGGCGCGAGAUAACUCUCUCUAAGGAACUCGGCAAAAUAACUCCGUAACUUCGGGAGAAGGAGUGCCUUAUUUUAAGGUUGCAAUAACAAGAUCCAAGCAACUGUUUACCAAAAACACAGGUCUCCGCUAAGUCGUAAGACGAUGUAUGGGGGCUGACGCCUGCCCAGUGCCAGAAGGUUAAAGAAGUUGGUUAGCUAUUGCGAAGCUGAUGACUGAAGCCCUGGUGAACGGCGGCCGUAACAAUAACGGUCCUAAGGUAGCGAAAUUCCUUGUCGGGUAAGUUCCGACCCGCACGAAAGGCGUAAUGAUUUGGAUACUGUCUCGGAGAGGGGCUCGGUGAAAUAGACUUGUCUGUGAAGAUGCGGACUACCUGCACCUGGACAGAAGGACCCUAUGAAGCUUUACUGUAACUUGAAAUUGAAAUUGGACUUUAUUUGCGCAGUAUAGGUGGGAGGCGUUUGAAGAUAUUCUUGCGGGAAUGUUGGAGCCAUUAGUGAGAUACCACUCUUGUAAUGUUAGAUUUCUAACUUUGUACCAUAAUCUGGUCAAAGAACAGUUUCAGGCGGGCAGUUUGACUGGGGCGGUCGCCUCCCAAAUGGUAACGGAGGCGUACAAAGGUUUCCUCUGAACGUGUAGAAAUCGUAUCUAGAGUGUAAAGGCAUAAGGAAGCUUGACUGUGAGACCUACAAGUCAAGCAGGGACGAAAGUCGGUCUUAGUGAUCUGACGGUACUGAGUGGAAAGGCCGUCACUCAACGGAUAAAAGUUACUCUAAGGAUAACAGGCUGAUCUCCCCCAUGAGUUCACAUCGACGGGGAGGUUUGGCACCUCGAUGUCGGCUCAUCGCAUCCUGGGGCGGUAGUACGUCCCAAGGGUUGGGCUGUUCGCCCAUGAAAGCGGUACGCGAGCUGGGUUCAGAACGUCGUGAGACAGUUCGGUCCAUAUCCGGUGUAGGCGUUAGAAUAUUGAGAGGAGCCUUCUUUAGUACGAGAGGACCGAGAAGGACAUACCUCUGGUGUACCAGUUAUCGUGCCAACGGUAAACGCUGGGUAGCUAUGUAUGGAGAGGAUAACCGCUGAAAGCAUCUAAGUGGGAAGCCCACCUCGAGAUGAG
rnacentral:rRNA from 1 species